rnacentral:ncRNA from 1 species
AAAGCUGUCUCAGUUCGGAUUGUUCUCUGCAACUCGAGAGCAUGAAGUUGGAAUCGCUAGUAAUCGUGGAACAGCAUGCCACGGUGAAUACGUUCCCAGGCCUUGUACACACCGCCCGUCACACCAUGGGAGUUGGUUCUACCCGAAGAUGCUGUGCUAACCGCAAGGGGGCAGGCAGCCACGGUAGGGUCAGCGACUGGGG